rnacentral:lncRNA from 1 species
GAAGAAGGGUUUUGGCUCGAUUCCUCGUUAUGGCAGUUGGACGGUUCGUUCUUGGGGCCACAUGCUUUGAUUGAGGCUUCUUCUUAAUAGGGCCAGCUUCCUUUGGAGCAGGUUUUUCCUUCGGACCAGGUUUUGACUGCGGACCAGGUUUUGCCUUCGGACCAGAUUUUGCCUUCGGACCAGGUUUUGCCUUCGAACCAGGUUUUGCCUUCGGGGCCGAUGCAUGUUUCUUUUGUGGAGAGGUGGUGGCCUUUUCCAGAGCUGGCUUGCAGCCACGGAGAGUAACAAGGGCACUACAGAAGAAAGUGGAACAAAGUAUAAGGAAUAAGGGGAAAACCAACUGGGAAGCA